ensembl:lncRNA
GCCAGUCGGUUGAGUACACCAAAACACCUAGUAAGAUGGGCAUCAUGAAGCAGCAGGUGAGCGGCAGUCAGCCUUCCAUUUGUUCAGAACCAGGGAAGAGCAAGGACCUGUACGAUCUCUCUGAGGUGUGCCCUUGGGAAGUGGAGGAGUUACCAACUCCAACAGAAGGCAAAUCACAGAAGCAUGUUUCCAUUGCACCCACUGAAACCAAUACAAUCAAUGGGAGCAGUGCAAAAAGUGGACACAAGUCUCAACACAAACAAAAAGGGUUGGGCCAAUCUCUGUCAAACCGGCGCCGCUCCAGAGAUAAGACUGGGGACAGGGAUGAAGGGAGGAAACCCAAAUCACCUCUCAACCUCAGUGCCCACAAAGAUGCAAGUCCGUGGAACUUCGAGGAUCUAUCGGUGCAACCAAUGGAGCCUGUAGGACUGUCCCCCGAGAGAACAAGCCGCAAAAAAAGUGUCACUCCCACAGAUGGAAAACCCAAGUUCAUCCUCUCAGACAUCUCCAAAUCCACAGGUAGCCUUUUACAACCUCCAGCUCUCAUGGUUGAUAUCUGUCCUUGGGAUUACGAUCCCCCUCUGUCCCCCAACCAGGAGAAGACUUCCAGCCCCACACAUCAUUCAAAGAGAAGAGAUUCUUGCUCGAAAAGAAAAGGAUCCUGCUCCUCCAAAGAGAAAGCUAAGGAUAAAGAUGAUGAUAAACGAACGUCCAAAAAUAAGGAGCGAAGAAGCUCCUCAAGCAAACCCUCAGAGAAGCGUCGCACAAGCCAACCAUCAGAGGGGGACCAAGUGGCCACAGUGGCAUCUGGCAGGAGGAGGAGCUCUACUAGAGACUCUGCCAUCAGCGGCAGUAAGCGUGCCGACGUUUGCCCCUGGGAGACAGAGGUAUUGCCAAGUGUUACCUCAAAUGAUAAACAGCCUCCAACGACUGAGAACCACACAACUCAAACAUCGUCCACUUACCUCAACAUGGCUGAAGUUUGUCCAUGGGACUUUGAAGAGAAGUUGUCAGGGAAAAGUGCAUGACACAG